GUGAUCUUCCAUUUCAUAUAUAUCAUAAACCCUAGAAAUCUAAUAUCUCAAUCAUCAAAAUCAAAAUGUCAGACAACAUUCCCUUCGAAAUCCAAGAGCUAAUCAUGAACAAGCUUCCAGUGGAACCCUUGAUUCGAUUCCGAACAGUCUGCAAAGCAUGGAAGUCCCUCAUCGACAGUUCCGAUUUCAUUCGAAAUCAUAUCAAGCAACAGAAUCAGCAACAUCUGCUCGUAAGGUAUCACGACGCCCUUCAUCCCGAGCUAAAAUUUGUUUCAAUUCCUGACAAUGAUGAUGAUACUGAUCCUUUCCCCCAACAUAAGGUUCCUGUUACUGUUCCCCAAUUAGUAGUUAAUUCGGUUGAUCAUUAUACAAUAAUUGACAGCUCUCAUGGAUUAUUGUGUUUGUUCGGUCCCGACGAUAAAGCGGUUAUUUGGAAUCCUUCUAUUAGGAAAGCGGUUGAUGUUGUUCUGCCUGAUAUGGUUGGUGAUGGGAUAUAUGUAAAUGUGUUAGGGUUUGGGGUUUGUCCGGAGACUAUAGACCCGAAGGUUAUUAAAAUUAGGAUUUAUACGGAAGAUGUGAUCCCGUGGCAGGUUGAGGUGUUUACGCUAAGCACGAGGGUUUGGAGAAGUGCGUAUAGCAGCAAUGUACCGAGCAAGUGUUUUUGGUUUGGUGGGGAACAGGUGGUUGUAGGUGGAGUUGUUUAUUUUCUUGUUAGUGAUAGGGUUGAUGGUAGAGAUGGGUGUGGUAAUUUGAUUGUUUCGUUUGAUCUGACAAGUGAAGAGUUUGGAGAAGUGAAGCUUCCGGAUUGCCUAACUUAUACUCAUAAAUUGUCUAUGCUUAAGCUAAGGGAGUCACUUGCUGUGAUUGAAGCCAGUCUAGAGGAAGUCGACCUCGGUCGAGGGUACGAUAAACGAGUUUACCAUAUAUGGAGGAUGAAGGAUGGUGUUCCAAAGUUGUUUGAAAAGCUCUUCUCUAUCGACUACUCACCAGAUGGAUCAGUGGUUUAUAUAAGGGGCUUUAGGAAAACUGGUGAAGCUUUACUCGGAUGGCUAGCUCCUCCUGACUUCAAUAGAACACUUGCUGCUUAUGAACCCUAUUCUAAAGCCAUCACUAAUCUUGGGAUUAAUGGAAGUUAUAUUUCUGUGUAUUCCUUCACAGAAACACUGCUUCUUCUGCUUUGAUCAACCCGUUACUUACAGCUUAUGAAAAAGACAUAGUCUAAAGAGGGUUAAGGCAAUCCAGGUCAAAGUUAAAGUAUAGAUUCAAGUGUCAGGAGUCAAACCUGCUUCUGCUUGCAUAAAAGUGUGUCUGAGUUGACUCGGCGCAUUCUGACCAACACAGCUAAAGCAAUACAAUACAAUACAAUACCUGAAGAACACCCUCACUUAAAUUGGAAGGAAGGAAGGUCUCAGUCUCAUACAGCUUAACUUUAUUGUUUUCACUGAUUCUAUCUGUACCUGUUUCAAAUACAACUCCUUAAUAUGUACCCUAGUUUUGAUUGUGUUAAGUUAAUAUCACGGUUUAUGGUUAUCCGAAACAAGCUUUAUAAACACGUUUCACAUACAUUCCGGCUCUGUUUCUA